CGAACGGUGAUCUCAGAGCUUGCUCUGGGUGAUCAGUGGCGAACGGGUGAGUAACACGUGAGUAACCUGCCCUUGACUCUGGGAUAACUCCGGGAAACCGGGGCUAAUACUGGAUACGAGAUGCGACCGCAUGGUCUGUGUCUGGAAAGUUUUUCGGUCAAGGAUGGACUCGCGGCCUAUCAGCUUGUUGGUGGGGUAACGGCCCACCAAGGCGUCGACGGGUAGCCGGCCUGAGAGGGCGACCGGCCACACUGGGACUGAGACACGGCCCAGACUCCUACGGGAGGCAGCAGUGGGGAAUAUUGCACAAUGGGCGAAAGCCUGAUGCAGCGACGCCGCGUGAGGGAUGAAGGCCUUCGGGUUGUAAACCUCUUUCAGUAGGGAAGAAGCGAAAGUGACGGUACCUGCAGAAGAAGCGCCGGCUAACUACGUGCCAGCAGCCGCGGUAAUACGUAGGGCGCAAGCGUUGUCCGGAAUUAUUGGGCGUAAAGAGCUCGUAGGCGGUUUGUCGCGUCUGGUGUGAAAUCUCAAGGCUCAACCUUGAGCUUGCAUCGGGUACGGGCAGACUAGAGUGCGGUAGGGGUGACUGGAAUUCCUGGUGUAGCGGUGGAAUGCGCAGAUAUCAGGAGGAACACCGAUGGCGAAGGCAGGUCACUGGGCCGCAACUGACGCUGAGGAGCGAAAGCAUGGGUAGCGAACAGGAUUAGAUACCCUGGUAGUCCAUGCCGUAAACGUUGGGCACUAGGUGUGGGGCUCAUUCCACGAGUUCCGUGCCGCAGCAAACGCAUUAAGUGCCCCGCCUGGGGAGUACGGCCGCAAGGCUAAAACUCAAAGGAAUUGACGGGGGCC
rnacentral:rRNA from 2 species